GGCUAAAUGAAGGGGUCUGGUCCUGCCGGAGCAAUCCGGAUGCUAAGAGGGAAUUUGGUGCGACCGCCCGUCGGUUCAGGCCAAAGCCGCCCCCGCGACUGUAAGCGGUGAGCCUCUGUUCAACCAGCCACUCCCGGGUUCGCCCCCGGGGGGAAGGCGAACAGAGGCACUGACCCGCGAGCCAGGAGACCUGCCAGACAGGCACUGUAACAC
rnacentral:ncRNA from 16 species